CGCGUGCAGGAAGACGGCCCUAUGGGUUGUAAACUGCUUUUGUACGGGAAGAAUAAGGGGCACGCGUGCCCCGAUGACGGUACCGUUCGAAUAAGGAUCGGCUAACUCCGUGCCAGCAGCCGCGGUAAUACGGAGGAUCCGAGCGUUAUCCGGAAUCAUUGGGUUUAAAGGGUCCGUAGGCGGGCGCAUAAGUCAGGGGUGAAAGUUUGCCGCUCAACGGUAAAAUUGCCUUUGAUACUGUGCGCCUUGAAUGGCGGUGAAGUGGCUAGAAUGUGCAGUGUAGCGGUGAAAUGCUUAGAUAUUGCACAGAAUACCGAUUGCGAAGGCAGGCCACUAACCGUCCAUUGACGCUGAUGGACGAAAGCGUGGGGAGCGAACAGGAUUAGAUACCCUGGUAGUCCACGCCGUAAACGAUGGAUACUAGCUGUCCGUGGCGCGCGAGUGCCGUGGGUGGCCAAGCGAAAGUGAUAAGUAUCCCACCUGGGGAGUACGGUCGCAAGAUUGAAACUCAAAGGAAUUGACGGGGGCCCGCACAAGCGGUGGAGCAUGUGGUUUAAUUCGAUGAUACGCGAGGAACCUUACCAGGGCUUGAACGCAUUUUGACAGGCUGGGAAACCAGCCCUUCUUCGGACAAUUUGCGAGGUGCUGCAUGGUUGUCGUCAGCUCGUGCCGUGAGGUGUCAGGUUAAGUCCUAUAACGAGCGCAACCCCUGCCGUUAGUUACCAGCAUGUAAAGAUGGGGACUCUAGCGGGACUGCCGGUGCAAACCGCGAGGAAGGUGGGGAUGACGUCAAAUCAUCACGGCCCUUACGCCCUGGGCCACACACGUGCUACAAUGGCCGGUACAGAGGGCAGCCACCCCGCGAGGGGGCGCGAAUCCUCAAAG
rnacentral:rRNA from 1 species